UUCUGUUCCCUGCCUAACACUCGGGCCAUUUUCAGCGCAACCAAUGUUUCAUACCCUAUUAGGAGACCUUAAGGAACAGUGUGAAAUACCCUAUAUAAUCAUUCUAUC